AUCUACGGUGCACACAGGUGGCUGGUUUCUUCACCUCAGAGUUGGUCACAAGUUUUAUUCCAAUUUCCUAAAAGUGUGAGUAAAAAAAAAAGUGCAAAAUUCUGUUUGUCAUCGGCAGUUAGGAAUUAGAACGAUACAUAAAUAUUGUGGCAGACGGCAGGGAGGAGUGGUAUGUUUGGAGGAGAGGGGGUAACAAUAAAUUGUAUCAAUAAGAAUAUCGUUAACAUCAGGGAGAGAGAGAGAGAGAGAGAGAGAGAGAGAC